rnacentral:rRNA from 1 species
CGAAGGGUGCAAGCGUUAAUCGGAAUUACUGGGCGUAAAGCGUGCGUAGGCGGUUGGUUAAGUCUGUCGUGAAAGCCCUGGGCUCAACCUGGGAAUGGCGAUGGAUACUGGCCAGCUAGAGUGUGAUAGAGGAUGGCGGAAUUCCCGGUGUAGCGGUGAAAUGCGUAGAGAUCGGGAGGAACAUCCGUGGCGAAGGCGGCCAUCUGGAUCAACACUGACGCUGAGGCACGAAAGCGUGGGGAGCAAACAGGAUUAGAUACCCUGGUAGUCCACGCCCUAAACGAUGCGAACUGGAUGUUGGUCUCAACUCGGAGAUCAGUGUCGAAGCUAACGCGUUAAGUUCGCCGCCUGGGGAGUACGGUCGCAGGACUG